rnacentral:rRNA from 1 species
CAGUCGCCGCGGUAAUACGGAGGGUGCAAGCGUUAAUCGGAAUUACUGGGCGUAAAGCGCACGCAGGCGGUCUGUCAAGUCGGAUGUGAAAUCCCCGGGCUCAACCCGGGAACUGCAUUCGAAACUGGCAGGCUAGAGUCUUGUAGAGGGGGGUAGAAUUCCAGGUGUAGCGGUGAAAUGCGUAGAGAUCUGGAGGAAUACCGGUGGCGAAGGCGGCCCCCUGGACAAAGACUGACGCUCAGGUGCGAAAGCGUGGGGAGCAAACAGGAUUAGAUACCCGAGUAGUCCCUGUCUCUUAUAC